rnacentral:rRNA from 1 species
GACGAACGCUGGCGGCGUGCUUAACACAUGCAAGCGGAGCGACGAACCAGGCUUCGGCCUGGGGCAGAGCCGCGAACGGGUGAGUAACACGUGGGUAACGUGCCCCAAUGAUCGGGACAACCCGGGGAAACCCGGGCUAAUACCGAAUGUGCUCCCCUCACACCAGUGAGGGGUGGAAAGGAAGCUUCGGCCUCCGCAUUGGGAUCGGCCCGCGGCCCAUUAGCUUGUUGGUGAGGUAACGGCUCACCAAGGCUGCGAUGGGUAGCUGGUCUGCGAGGACGAUCAGCCACACUGGGACUGAGACACGGCCCAGACUCCUACGGGAGGCAGCAGUGGGGAAUCUUGCGCAAUGCGCGAAAGCGUGACGCAGCAACGCCGCGUGGGGGAAGAAGGCCUUCGGGUUGUAAACCCCUUUCAGGAGGGACGAAGCCCGGGCGGUUAAUAGCCGACCCGGGUGACGGUACCUCCAGAAGAAGCCCCGGCUAACUACGUGCCAGCCGCCGCGGUAAAAC